UGGGGAAUAUUGCACAAUGGGCGCAAGCCUGAUGCAGCCAUGCCGCGUGUGUGAAGAAGGCCUUCGGGUUGUAAAGCACUUUCAGCGAGGAGGAAGGUGGUGAGCUUAAUACGCUCAUCAAUUGACGUUACUCGCAGAAGAAGCACCGGCUAACUCCGUGCCAGCAGCCGCGGUAAUACGGAGGGUGCAAGCGUUAAUCGGAAUUACUGGGCGUAAAGCGCACGCAGGCGGUUUGUUAAGUCAGAUGUGAAAUCCCCGGGCUCAACCUGGGAACUGCAUUUGAAACUGGCAAGCUAGAGUCUCGUAGAGGGGGGUAGAAUUCCAGGUGUAGCGGUGAAAUGCGUAGAGAUCUGGAGGAAUACCGGUGGCGAAGGCGGCCCCCUGGACGAAGACUGACGCUCAGGUGCGAAAGCGUGGGGAGCAAAACAGGAUUAGAUACCCUGGUAGUCACGCUGUAAACGAUGUCGAUUUUGGAGGUUGUGCCCCUUGAGGCGUGGCUUCCGGAGCUAACGCGUUAAAUCGACCGCCU
rnacentral:rRNA from 1 species